GAUGAAGAACGCAGCGAAAUGCGAUACGUAAUGUGAAUUGCAGAAUUCAGUGAAUCAUCGAAUCUUUGAACGCAUAUUGCGCUCUCUGGUAUUCCGGAGAGCAUGCUUGUUUGAGUAUCAGUAAACACCUCAACCCUUUUUUCUUUUUUGAAAUUGGAGCUGGACUUGAGUGAUCCCAACGCUUUCUUCCAAGAAAGUGGCGGGUUGCUUGAAAUGCAGGUGCAGCUGAACUUUUCUCUGAGCUAUAAGCAUAUCUAUUUAGUCUGCCUAAAAAACAGAUUAUUACCUUUGCUGCAGCUAACAUAAAGGAGACUAGUUCUUGUGCUGACUGAUGCAGGAUUCACAGAGACAGCUUCGGCUGACUUUGUAAACUCGAUCUCAAAUCAAGUAAGACUACCCGCUGAACUUAAGCAUAUCAAUAAGCGGAGGA
rnacentral:misc_RNA from 1 species